AACGCUAGCUACAGGCUUAACACAUGCAAGUCGAGGGGCAGCAUGACCUAGCAAUAGGUUGAUGGCGACCGGCGCACGGGUGAGUAACACGUAUCCAACCUACCGGUUAUUCCGGGAUAGCCUUUCGAAAGAAAGAUUAAUACCGGAUAGUAUAACGAGAAGGCAUCUUUUUGUUAUUAAAGAAUUUCGAUAACCGAUGGGGAUGCGUUCCAUUAGUUUGUUGGCGGGGUAACGGCCCACCAAGACAUCGAUGGAUAGGGGUUCUGAGAGGAAGGUCCCCCACAUUGGAACUGAGACACGGUCCAAACUCCUACGGGAGGCAGCAGUGAGGAAUAUUGGUCAAUGGACGAGAGUCUGAACCAGCCAAGUAGCGUGAAGGAUGACUGCCCUAUGGGUUGUAAACUUCUUUUAUAUGGGAAUAAAGUGAGCCACGUGUGGCUUUUUGUAUGUACCAUACGAAUAAGGAUCGGCUAACUCCGUGCCAGCAGCCGCGGUAAUACGGAGGAUCCGAGCGUUAUCCGGAUUUAUUGGGUUUAAAGGGAGCGUAGGCGGACUAUUAAGUCAGCUGUGAAAGUUUGCGGCUCAACCGUAAAAUUGCAGUUGAUACUGGUCGUCUUGAGUGCAGUAGAGGUAGGCGGAAUUCGUGGUGUAGCGGUGAAAUGCUUAGAUAUCACGAAGAACUCCGAUUG
rnacentral:rRNA from 1 species